rnacentral:rRNA from 1 species
GAUGAACGCUGGCGGCAUGCCUAACACAUGCAAGUCGUGCGGUAACAGGCUCACACAGUUUUUCAUUGCGAAAAUUUUUCGUAGUUAAAUGGAAAUUUGUGUGAGCGCUGACGAGCGGCGGACGGCUGAGUAACGCGUGGGAACGCACCCCAAGGUGAGGGAUAACUACUCGAAAGAGUAGCUAAUACCGCAUAUGGUCUUCGGAUUAAAGAUUUAUCGCCAUGGGAGCGGCCCGCGUACGAUUAGAUAGUUGGUGAGGUAAUGGCUCACCAAGUCGACGAUCGUUAACUGGUUUGAGAGAAUGAUCAGUCAGACUGGAACUGAGACACGGUCCAGACUCCUACGGGAGGCAGCAGUGAGGAAUCUUCCACAAUGGGCGAAAGCCUGAUGGAGCAAUGCCGCGUGCAGGAUGAAGGCCUUAGGGUUGUAAACUGCUUUUAUAUGAGAAGAAUUAAGACGGUAACAUAUGAAUAAGGACCGGCUAACUACGUGCCAGCAGCCGCAGUAAAAC